rnacentral:lncRNA from 1 species
UUGACAUACAGGAAAUUUGAUGCGCUGCCCCAAAUGGGUUACGGCCCACAGGUUGAGAACUGCUACUCUUUCAUCUGCCUCCAUAUUUUCAGUGGCUUGAAGUGAGCACUUACACAGAGACCGAAAUCUGUGCUGAAUGAGACUGUAAAUGGCUGAACAAAUCCAUGAGGCAAGAUUGGAAGUGAGAGCCCAGCUCCUGGAAGGCAAAAGCAUAGCAUCGUCUGUUAGAGGCCAGGGCGCCACAGAUGCUAUGGAUUAAGCCAGUGCUCUGUCUGCAUGCACACCUGCAUGCCAGAAGAGAGCAUUGGAUCCCAUUACAGAUGGUUGUGAGACCCCAUGUGGUUGCUGGGAAAUGAACUCAGGAUCUCUGGGAGAGCAGCCGGUGCUCUUAACCACUGGGCCAUCUAUCCAGCACCUCAUU